AUUGAACGCUGGCGGCAGGCCUAACACAUGCAAGUCGGACGGUAGCACAGAGAGCUUGCUCUCGGGUGACGAGUGGCGGACGGGUGAGUAAUGUCUGGGGAUCUGCCCGAUAGAGGGGGAUAACCACUGGAAACGGUGGCUAAUACCGCAUAACGUCGCAAGACCAAAGAGGGGGACCUUCGGGCCUCUCACUAUCGGAUGAACCCAGAUGGGAUUAGCUAGUAGGCGGGGUAAUGGCCCACCUAGGCGACGAUCCCUAGCUGGUCUGAGAGGAUGACCGGCAGGACUGGAAGGGAAACACGGACCAGACUCCUACGGGAGGCAGCAGUGGGGAAUAUUGCACAAUGGGCGCAAGCCUGAUGCAGCCAUGCCGCGUGUAUGAAGAAGGCCUUCGGGUUGUAAAGAACUUUCAGCGGGGAGGAAGGCGAUGCGGUUAAUAACCGUGUCGAUUGACGUUACCCGCAGAAGAAGCACCGGCUAACUCCGUGCCAGCCGCCGCAGUAA
rnacentral:rRNA from 1 species